rnacentral:rRNA from 1 species
CCUACGGGUGGCUGCAGUGGGGAAUAUUGGACAAUGGGCGAAAGCCUGAUCCAGCCAUGCCGCGUGUGUGAAGAAGGCCUUCGGGUUGUAAAGCACUUUCAGUGGGGAAGAAAGCCUUGGGGCUAAUACCCUCGAGGAAGGACAUCACCCACAGAAAAAGCACCGGCUAACUCCGUGCCAGCAGCCGCGGUAAUACGGAGGGUGCGAGCGUUAAUCGGAAUUACUGGGCGUAAAGCGCGCGUAGGCGGUCUGAUAAGCCGGUUGUGAAAGCCCCGGGCUCAACCUGGGAACGGCAUCCGGAACUGUCAGGCUAGAGUGCAGGAGAGGAAGGUAGAAUUCCCGGUGUAGCGGUGAAAUGCGUAGAGAUCGGGAGGAAUACCAGUGGCGAAGGCGGCCUUCUGGACUGACACUGACGCUGAGGUGCGAAAGCGUGGGUAGCAAACAGGAUUAGAUACCCUAGUAGUC